rnacentral:sRNA from 1 species
GCUGGAUGUGGUGAUGCAUGUCUGUAAUCCCAGCAGCUUGGGAAGCUGAGACAGGAGGAUCAUAGGUUUAAAGCCAGCCUCAACAACUUAGUGAGGUCCUAAGAACUCAGUGAGGCCCUAAGCAAAUCAGCAAGACCCUGUCUCUA